ACUUUCCCCUUCUCUUGAGGUGGUGCCUGGGUAUACAGGGAUGUUGAAGGGGUCCAUAUGGCUUCAUGACAAUGGAGUGAAGCAGGACAUAGUAAAGAAUUUAACCUUGCUCAAAGAGAGACAUGGCUUUUGUCCUUGGCCCCUGGAAGGUAAUCUCUAAGCCCUUGGAAUGCUUGCCUGGUAAGAGUGCCUUUGUUUACCUGGGGGCAUUGGUCCAUAACAGAUAGUCUAACAAGGGAGCCAUGGCAGGGCUUUUGGUCACAUCAUAACAGCUUAAUCUCUGAAGAUGCUGAAGACUGAGCCCAGCCACAUGGGCAGCCAACCAGGUU
rnacentral:lncRNA from 1 species